GUGCUUCGGCAGUGCAUAUACUAAAAUUGAAAUGAUACAGAGAAGAUUAGCAUGGCCCCUGCGUGAGGAUGACAUGCAAAUUCAUAAAGCGUUCCGUACUUUU
ensembl:snRNA U6 U6 spliceosomal RNA